rnacentral:rRNA from 1 species
UGAGGAACAUUGGUUAAUGGGCGGAAGCCUGAACCAGCCAAGUCGCGUGAGGGAAGACGGUCCUAUGGAUUGUAAACCUCUUUUGCAGGGGAGCAAGACCCGUUACGUGUAACAGGUUGGAGAGUACCCUGAGAAAAAGCAUCGGCUAACUCCGUGCCAGCAGCCGCGGUAAUACGGAGGAUGCGAGCGUUAUCCGGAUUUAUUGGGUUUAAAGGGUGCGUAGGCGGGCUGGUAAGUCAGCGGUAAAAAUGCGGUGCUCAACGCCGUAGUGCCGUUGAAACUGCCGGUCUUGAGUGAGCGAGAAGUAUGCGGAAUGCGUGGUGUAGCGGUGAAAUGCAUAGAUAUCACGCAGAACUCCGAUUGCGAAGGCAGCAUACCGGCGCCCAACUGACGCUGAAGCACGAAAGCGUGGGUAUCGAACAGGGAUUAGAUACC